GGGUCAGUAGGUUGGUCGUGCCACCGGUACGUACUGGUCUCACCGAUUCCUCCUUCCUGAAGUACCGUAAUGCCAUUAAUUUGGUGUUGCGGGGAAACAGGACUGUUACUUUGAAAAAAUUAGAAUGUUUAAAGCAAGCUAACGCUUGAAUACAUUAGCAUGGAAUAAUGAAAUAGGACGAUCGAUCCUAUUUUGUUGGUUUCUAGGAUUGACGUA
rnacentral:rRNA from 1 species